UCAUUCCUCUGUCUUCUCUCCCCCCUCUCCUCCCCCCUCUCUCUCUCUCCUCCAGUGGGUGUGAUGCGGCCCACCCUGAGCGUCCUCCCCCCCUCCAAAGAGGAGCUGCGGCAGGGCCGUGCCACAGUGGUGUGUGCGGCCAGCGGGGGCUUCCCCUCAACCUGGAGGCUGGGCUGGAAGGUCGGGGGCAGCAGCAGCUCCUCAGGGGCGUCACACAGCCUGGAGGUCCAGGGGAGUGACGGCCACUACAGCUGGAGCAGCACCCUGAGCCUCUCUGCAGACCAGUGGAGGAAGGCGGGCUCAGUGAGCUGCGAGGCCAGUCUGAGUGGACAGAGCCCCGCCACUCAAAGCCUGGACCCUGCCCGCUGCUCAGAGUAGAGCUUCAGCAACACUUCCUGUCUGGAAAUGAUGCUGCUUCUUUGAUAGACGUCUGGAUGAAGCUACAGAUCUCCUCUGUUCACAUGUUUCUGCAGGUUUCAUAGCUCUCUGCUCAGUGUUUUAGUCUGCAUGUUGCUCU